AACUGAAUUCAGUUCCUCUGCAAGAGCAGCGUGUGCCCUUAGCCGCUGAGCCAUGUCUCCAGCUGCUACUUGGAAAGUUUUAAUAAAUUCAUCACAGCCAAGAACGCACUAGCAAUAGAUGUGUUUGCUGCUGAGAGAGUCUUCAGUCUGCAACGGGAGCCAAUGCUCUUCUGUACGGAUCCCAGAGACAUCACUCCUGCAUUUAAUUAAAAGGGGAACUUUGUGAGUGGCUCAGCAAGCAACAGGGCUUCCUGUCAUCGAGCCUGCCAACCUGGGUUUGACCCCCAAGGGAGAGAACCAACUUAGAGAACCAGCUUCCUUCUGACUCACCACUCCUUGGCACCCCUCCCACUAACACAAAGUAAAUACAACAAAUGAGAUGAAGAGCAAACUUUGCCGCCGCUGCCACAGACGCCACGGAUUUCAAGCCUGGAGGAAGAUGGCGUGACCUAAGUUAACUGCCUUGGGGAUGCAGUGUCCCUACUGGCUAGGAAGACUGUUGCUGAGCCACCAUCUGCUUAGUGGUAAGAGCUAAGGAGGAAGCAAGCUGGACCUGGCAAAAACAAGGUCAACUCAGGACCGUCUUCACCAGCACUGGAGUUCAGAAUCUUCCGAAUGACUUGGGAGCAAGAAUGGGGAGUGAGACCAGAAGAGCUCUGUCCUGAGACCAGCCUGAUUUGACUUCGCCCUGGUGUGACUGCCGCAUUCCUGACCUCCACAGUCUAAAAAGUCAGGUCUUGCACCCAGCUCUCGGUCACCCACCGACCUCCUACAAAGGGAGGCCCACUGGUCAUGCACUCAGGCAACAGACAGGAAAGCAUUUUGGAUCUCCUGGCAACUGUAGAGGUCUACGGCUAGAGUGUCGUGCCACCGAUGAAUCCAUUGAAGUCCACUGUGGUCCUGGCCGGAAGCCCACUAGGAAAACAGAUCCAGACGUCACUGCUGGAAUCUACGGGAGAGCGUCUUAAAGAGAUAGAUUUGGAAUCAGAUUGUGAUAACUCUGGUCUCCAGAUACUCUACAAGGAAGCCUUCCAUAUGAGGAAAACUGCCUUGAAAGACCUUUGAAGUGACUUCAAAUGUCCGUGGCAACAUGAAAACAUGCUGUGUGUGGCUCUCAGGCCACAAAUCUCAGUGGAACAUGAUUGUGAUCAGAAUACCUAGAAUUUGCCUCUAAUGGAGGUACAUUCCCCCACAUUCCACUGACAUACUGGGUGUGUAUGGACACACAACUGUAUGAGGCUGGUAUUAGUGAGUAAACACAAUAACAGUUAUCAAAAAGCAUCAGGGCUACUUUAUUUGUGUGUGUAUGUUUAUGCGUGUGGGUGCACAUGUAUGUCGGGGUGUGUUUGUGUAUGUAGAGACCAGAGUCAGAGGAUAACCUCAGGUGUUGUUGCUCAGGUUCUGUUCCCCUUAUUUUGUUUGAGAUCGUGUCUUCAGCGGCCUGAGGCUUGCACUUUAGUCUGGGCUGUCUGGCCAGUGAGCCCUAGGGAUCCACUUGUCUCCUCCCCCCCAGUGCUGGGCUUACAAUUGUCAACGAUGCGAUGCGACUCUUUUGGCCUUUUCUCUUAUUAACACAUGGGUCCUAGGGAUCAACCUCAAGCCCUUUACCAAGGGAGCCAUCUUCCCAGCACCACCCCCACUUUGGAUUAUUCUGCUAGAAUUACUCCUAUACCUCAUGUCCAAAUGAGGUAAACAUCACAGACAGCCCUCAGAUCACUGAUGUGCAGGCUGGCAGGGACGGUAGCAGGUAGGGAGAACGAUGCUGCUUUCCCAUGUGGGUCCAAGGGCAUCCCCAGCUCACCCUCCAGAAAGAACAGGCUUGGUCUGGGAACGCAGAGCAACUGCAGGACCCCCUGGAGGACUUGGAUCAUCUGGCAAAUUAGAAUGAGAAUUCCUCUGUCCUGCAUCCCUUCUACCCCACAUUUUGUUUUGUAGAAUCAGAGAGAGAGAGAGAGAGAGAGAGAGAGAACAUAAUUUGUUCAUUGCCAUGAGAUCUUUCUUCAAAUAUUGUUUCUGAAAGAGCAAUUAAAAGUGAAUUAAAAAUGAAUUGUGGGCAGUUUUUGAAAUGAGUGCCUCGUUUCUAAAGCUGUUGAGAUAAAGUUCAAUUGAGCCUGCAAGAGUUCUCUCCAAAGCAAUUUCAGAAAACAAAGUGCUGUGCAAAUUGUAAUCACCAGGGAACUCUCGUCCACUCGGCACAGCUUUGCUGCCCAGGGCCUGCACAAGCGCAUCGGCAGCUGGUCUCGCCGUUCCCACAGUAACACAGGAGAACAAAAGCCAGGGUGAGGUGCUAACUGGAGCGGGAAGAAAUCAGACUGCAAUCAUUGUCAGGCUCACAAGGCAAGUUGGCCACCGUACGGCAAAUCCUGGUCUAAGAGCUCCAUCCUACUUCAAACAGCCCGACUCUAUCCGGCUCUCUGUCCCAGGAAGCUGCACUGGUUUCCCAUGGUUCUUAGGGAACAUUGUGACCUUUGCAGACAUCUGCACACAUGUGGCAAUGACACACACGUGCACACAUGUGGCAAUAACACACGUGCACACACGUGGCACAUACACACCAAAUAAAUAAAUUCUUAAAAAUAUUUCUUUAUAGGAGUUUACCAAUGGUCACCUCCCCCUCAUUCAUGAAUCUGUAUGUGUGAGCAUGUGUGUACGCGCGCGCGCGCGUGUGUGUGUGUGUGUGUGUGUGUGUGUGUGUGGUCUGCCGAUCUCUCUUCUGAACACUCCCAUGCUUCCUCAGCCUGCACCUCCACAGACCCUUGUGCAAGUCAGGGAAAGGCAGGUUUUAUGCUUGAGUGUGUACAGAGGGAGGCAGCCCUGCGGGCUCACGCUCUCUCCAGCAGAGGAUUUUUCUAACUCCUUUCAGGUUCUGAUGGCCAUGUCUCCCUCUAGUCCUGUCAGGGCUAUGUUGUUGGACCGUGAAGACGCACUGCUGUGACUGGUGCGAUCAAAGGCUGACUGGCCCAUAAGUAGGUGGGGUGCGGGGUGACUUUCAGGCACAGAAACAGGAUGUAGGAGGAGGCAAACGAGGUGCAGGGAGACACCCGUGAGACAUGGCAUCGAACAUGCAGAGUAAAAGAAAGGUAAAAUGUCAUGGGUGAAAUGUAGAUUAAUAUAAAUGGGUUCAUUUAAGUUAUAAGAGAUAGUGGGAGAAGCCUAAGCUAAGGCUAAGUUUUCAUAAUUAAUAAGCAAUCUCCGUGUCAUUAUUUGCGAGCUGGUGGCCCAAAGAAAGCUGUGAAUACAAGGCUAAGGAGUGACAGUCACAUGCUGACAUAAUUACUUUUAUGGAUUUAGUUAGCGGGCAUUUCUAAGUGUGCCUGUGAGGUAAGGAUGUUGCUAGUAGAGUCAGCAUUUUGCCCGAGAGACUGAAGAAGGCAGAUGAAAUCACACCACUAAUCCAUGCUGGCUUCAACAGGACAGAAGCUCAAAGGAAGAUGGAAUGUGCUCUAGGCCUGAGUGUUCCAGCAUCAUGUGGGCCUUCUGCUCUCCAGAGCAACCCCUGGUCCUCAGAUCUGGAAUCAGAACCACUAGCCCUGAGAAUCUUGACCCUUCAAGACAGGUCACCUGUUUUCCCAGUAUCCUGCCUGAAGAUGGUAGACCACAGGGCUUCUCAGUUCCCACGGCCACACGAAGAAUAUCAUUGGAUAUAAACAGUAAAGAUGGAGUGUAAGUCUAGGAGAUGUGGAUAAAAUGAUCUGACAAGCUUGCCCAGUGGACUAGCGGUGGUCAUCAUAUUGAUGUCAGAGCAUUUUUGUCUCCUUUGAGAGGAAUCCCCUAGUCUGACAGGACCCAGGCGUCGGGCAGGAAGACUACACGUUACAAGUCUCUGCAUCAAUAUUGGGGAACUGGCGGUACAAAGACUCGUUACAACCUCUGUCUUCAUUGAUGUUGAGCAUUGUUCAUUAGCUUCAUGUCCUUAUGGAUUCACUGAUUGUGGCUUUUCCCAUCUACACAAUUGUACAAUGUGUGGCUGUUGUUUUUGAUCUGUGUUCUUUUACUUGUCAUGCCAUUCCAAGAUGAUGAGGCAUGCAUUAACUCUACUUCUUAUCACUAAAUAAUAACCAAUUGUGUUAA